UUUUUAUAUUUUUGAAUUUCAAGUUACAUGUAUAAGGACAUGUUGUGGCCACAACUUGUGAGGGUCACAAGACCCACAGGUGUAUAAAUUUCACAGCCGUGGGUGUGUAAGCAUCUAUAAUGCACAAGGACACAAAGACCUAGCUUCCAUGAAUUCCUUUGUUACAGAUUACUACUAGCAAAACAAAUACAUAUUUACACGUACCACAACAUUACCACUAGGAAAGCAACUAUAUACAGAAGAGUAAAGCAAGCAUAUAUCACAAGUUACUACAGAAUUCUAACUAGUGAAGCAAAUGCAUAAGUGGGCCACAGGACUUCAGUUCCUAGAACUCUUGUUUUCCUGCUGACUCCUGUUUUCCUUGGAGGUCAGUUCAUUACCACAUCUUCUUUGUUCUGAGUCCAUCAAGGUUUCUUUGUCCUGCCAGCUACACCUCAUCAAUGAGGUUUCACUGAGUUUAUCAGGAAUGUCUUGGUGCUCCCAGCUAGUUAGACAUCCUUCUCUGGCAUUAUGUUUAUCGGGUUACCUUUGUGACAGCUCUGACAGGACAGUUAAGGGUCAUCAGUGAACUGUUGACAUGGUCAAGAGAGAAAACACCAUUCUCUUUUCAAAAUAAUCUGUUUAGAGAUAAGAAGCAAGCUCAAAAUCAUUGUGGACACACACACACGGAAAACCUGCUGAGGAUGUUAUGAUGUUCUUUCUUCUGGAUGUCCUAGUUGCUCCAUUUUGGAUGGAAGCCACCUACUCACCAGGCCAGUGCUUAGGAUCUCAGCAAUAUCCCUUGCAUAAUCACACUUUCUUCUUUGAGCAUUGAACCUUGUUUACCCACAAAAGUAAAAGACUAAAUUAUACAUAAAUAAAUCUACUCAGUGUGGAUUCAUUAAAAGCAAAUAUGUACCAAAAAAAAAAAAAGAAAAGGAAUUUUUUCCUUGUGAAGAAGAU